rnacentral:rRNA from 1 species
GAUGAACGCUGGCGGCGUGCCUAAUACAUGCCAGUCGAGCGAAUGGAUUAAGAGCUUGCUCUUAUGAAGUUAGCGGCGGACGGGUGAGUAACACGUGGGUAACCUGCCCAUAAGACUGGGAUAACUCCGGGAAACCGGGGCUAAUACCGGAUAACAUUUUGAACCGCAUGGUUCGAAAUUGAAAGGCGGCUUCGGCUGUCACUUAUGGAUGGACCCGCGUCGCAUUAGCUAGUUGGUGAGGUAACGGCUCACCAAGGCAACGAUGCGUAGCCGGCCUUAGAGGGUGAUCGGCCACACUGGGACUGAGACACGGCCCAGACUCCUGCGGGAGGCAGCAGUAGGGAAUCUUCCGCAAUGGACGAAAGUCUGACGGAGCAACGCCGCGUGAGUGAUGAAGGCUUUCGGAUCGUAAAACUCUGUUGUUAGGGAAGAACAAGUGCUAGUUGAAUAAGCUGGCACCUUGACGGUACCUAACCAGAAAGCCACGGCUAACUACGUGCCAGCCGCCGCAGUAA